rnacentral:rRNA from 1 species
GAUCAAGUGCCUUAAGGGUAUUCGGUGGAUGCCUUGGCGCUGAGAGGCGAUGAAGGACGUGGUACGCUGCGAUAAGCCGUGGGGAGGUGCGAACAACCUUUGAUCCGCGGAUUUCCGAAUGGGGAAACCCACCUUCGAUCUCUGUUAUUCCGAAGAGUUCGAUCUGAUGCGCACAGCAUCGGGUCGACGUCAUGGUGUUCCUUGAUAGGGAACGGCGGGGCUAAGCCCCUGGCGUCGCGCAAGCGACGCUAGGAGCGACUGCGACGCCGAGCCAAUGCGAGGGGCGCGCCGCUUGCGGCGCAAAAACACGAUGUCUUUGGACUAACAGAGAUCAUGAGAAGGUAUUUGUGACUGAAUCCAUAGGUCACAAAAGCGAACCCGGUGAACUGAAACAUCUAAGUAACCGGAGGAAAGGACAUCAACGAGACUCCGUUAGUAGUGGCGAGCGAACGCGGACCAGGCCAAUGCUCUUUGUCUUUUAACUCGAACCGGUUGGAAAGCCGGGCCAUAGCGGGUGACAGCCCCGUAGGGAUUUCGAAGGCGAAGAGAUACGAGUAGGGCGGGACACGUGCAAUCCUGUCUGAACAUGGGGAGACCACUCUCCAAGCCUAAGUACUCCUCAGCGACCGAUAGUGAACAAGUACCGUGAGGGAAAGGUGAAAAGCACCCCGACGAGGGGAGUGAAACAGUCCCUGAAACCGGAUACCUACAAACAGUCGGAGCCCGCAAGGGUGACGGCGUACCUUUUGUAUAAUGGGUCAGCGACUUAAAGUAACGAGCAAGCUUAAGCCGGUAGGCGUAGGCGCAGCGAAAGCGAGUCUGAACAGGGCGUUCAGUUCGUUGCUUUAGACCCGAAACCGAGUGAUCUAGCCAUGAGCAGGUUGAAGGUGCAGUAACAUGCACUGGAGGACCGAACCGGUGUCUGUUGAAAUAGACUCGGAUGACUUGUGGUUAGGGGUGAAAGGCCAACCAAACUCGGAAAUAGCUGGUUCUCCGCGAAAGCUAUUUAGGUAGCGCCUCGCAUUUAUUCUCCAGGGGGUAGAGCACUGGAUGGGCUAGGGGGUCCCACAGACUUACCAAACCCAACCAAACUCCGAAUACCUGGAAGAACUGUGCGGGAGACACACAGUGGGUGCUAACGUCCAUUGUGGAGAGGGAAACAACCCAGACCAACAGCUAAGGCCCCCAAUUCGUGGCUAAGUGGGAAAGGAUGUAAGAAUCCCAAAACAACCAGGAGGUUGGCUUAGAAGCAGCCAUCCUUUAAAGAAAGCGUAACAGCUCACUGGUCUAAAUAAGGGUUCUCGCGCCGAAGAUGUACCGGGGCUCAAGCCACGAGCCGAAGCUUUGGGUUCAUCCGCAAGGGUGAGCGGUAGCGGAGCGUUCCGUAAGCCUGUGAAGGGACAGUCGUGAGACAUCCUGGAGGUAUCGGAAGUGCGAAUGCUGACAUGAGUAACGAGAAACACUGUGAAAGACAGUGUCGCCGAAAGUCCAAGGGUUCCUGCGUAAAGUUAAUCUUCGCAGGGUUAGCCGGUCCCUAAGGCGAGGCCGAAAGGCGUAGUCGAUGGGAACCACGUUAAUAUUCGUGGGCCAGCAGGUGGUGACGCGUGGGGUAAAUUGUUCGGACUUACUGGAUUGUCCGGGCAGUGAACUCGCGCCAGGAAAUAGCCCCUGCAUCAGACCGUACCCGAAACCGACACAGGUGGACUGGUAGAGUAUACCAAGGCGCUUGAGAGAAUGACGUUGAAGGAACUCGGCAAUUUACCUCCGUAACUUCGGGAUAAGGAGGCCUUCGGUUUGGGCAACCAGAUCGGAGGGGCACAGACCAGGGGGUGGCAACUGUUUAACAAAAACACAGGGCUCUGCGAAAUCGCAAGAUGACGUAUAGGGUCUGACGCCUGCCCGGUGCCGGAAGGUUAAGAGGAGAGGUUCACGCCUUGAAUUGAAGCCCCGGUAAACGGCGGCCGUAAAUAUAACGGUCCUAAGGUAGCGAAAUUCCUUGUCGGGUAAGUUCCGACCUGCACGAAUGGCGUA